UACAUGGGGUGCAAACGUUGCUCGGAAUUAUUGGGCGUAAAGCGCACGUAGGCGGUCCGUUAAGUCAGAUGUGAAAGCCCCCGGCUCAACCGGGGAAGUGCAUCUGAAACUGGCGGGCUAGAGUACGAAAGAGGGUCGCGGAAUUCCCGGUGUAGAGGUGAAAUUCGUAGAUAUCGGGAGGAACACCAGUGGCGAAGGCGGCGAUCUGGGAAGAUACUGACGCUGAGGUGCGAAAGCGUGGGGAGCAAACAGG
rnacentral:rRNA from 1 species